CGCUCCGGUGGCCUAGUGGUUAGAGCGUCUGCCUCGGAUGCGGAAAGUCGCGGAUUAUACCCGGGCCGAGUGG